rnacentral:tRNA from 2 species
GCUCCUGGUGGACGAGGCCCACGCCACGGGCGUCUGGGGCCCCCACGGGAGGGGUUCGAUCGAGCACGCCGCCGUUCAAUCGCCGCGGCUGCC